GACGAACGCUGGCGGCGUGCUUAACACAUGCAAGUCGAACGAAAAGGCCCCUUUGGUGGUACUCGACUGUCUAAGGGGUGAGUAACACGUGAGUAACCUGACCUUGACUUCGGGAUAAGGUCAGGAAAGUGGGGCUAAUACCGUAUAGGAAUCCUUGCUGCAUUGUGGGGGUUGAAAAGCUGCGGCGGUUUUGGAUGGACUCGCGGCUUAUCGGCUUGGUGGUGGGGUAGUGGCUUACCAAGGUUUUGACGGGUAGCCCGCCUGGGAGGGGGACCGGCGACCGUGGGACUGAGAGAAGGCCCAGACGCCUACGGGACGCAGCAGUGGGGAAUCUUACACAAUGGGCGGAAGCCUGAUGAAGCAACGCCGCGGGUGGGAUGACGGGCUUAGGGUUGUAAAACGCUUUCAGCAGGAGCGAAGCAUGUGGUGACGGUACCUGAAGAAAAAGCAACGGCUAACUACGUG
rnacentral:rRNA from 1 species